UAUUAGUCGCGACACUUGAAGAUUGAGAAAAAUAUAUUUUAAACAAAUGUUUGUCCUUAUUUCUGUCGGACCCAUAAUAACAUCAUACGAUUUGAACCGCUUGUUAGUGUAUAACCUCAAUUUCAGCCAACUAGAACAUAAUUAAAAAAAAUAGGUAUCAUCAAAAUACCCACCAAACUACUCUUGCAAAAUAUAAAUUUUCUUAGAUACAAAUCGUGAUAGAACUUCGAAAAAAAAGUUCAAUCUUCUGAACCUGGAGAACCUGAUUUCAGCUAGAGAGACAGUGUCUACUACUAAAUUGUUUAAAAGGAUCAGAGUUACAGUGGUCAAAAAGAUUCGUAAUCCAUCCGCUGUGUGGCGCAAAUUCAAAGACUUUGAUAUCGAAAGAUCGAUAACUGUAGAACUGUUCUUUGAACACAAAGCUAAGAAGCACUUUCUAUCCCAGUUGGGCGCACUGUCAACAAUAAGAACCAAUAUACGAGACACCGGCUUGCAUUCGUGGUCAGCAUGCACUAGCAUCUACUCUGUGACA